AAUCCUCAUCUUUUGAGAGCCUCAAAUCAGCGUGUUUGCAGAUGAAAUGAUCCGAUGUCGGGGAUUUGCUUCAAAGUCAUGGCAGUCUCUAAGACGACAAUGAUUCCCCUGGACCAGCUUAUUAAAAGCAAAAAAAAAAAAAAAUCCAGUGGCAGAGGGGACGUGGGGGACCUGGAUGAGAUCUGUGAAGCCUCGGUGGAUGGAUGCUGUGUGGGAUCUACGAGAACCCCAGGCCCCGUGGAGGUCCGUGGGGGUCCCCGAAGGCAGAGCUGAUGCUGACCUGUACCCCCAUCUGGACAACGGAUGGCCCUGAUCCUCUCUGCUCAGAAAUGCCCAGUGCCACGGACGGAUGUGUGUGUCCCCACCGCCCCCCCCCCCCAGCAGGUCCACAAGGUGAAACCUCACCCCCAGCGGGAUGGUGUGAGAAGGUGGGGCUUUGGGGAGGCGACUGGGGGAUGGGGGCGGAGCCCUCAUGAAUGGGAUCAGUGCCCUGAUGAAAGCGACCCCACGGAGCUCCCUGCCCGCUUGCACCCGUACGAUGACAUCCGGGUCAUCGGCCACCGAAUCGGCUGGCCCCUUGACCUGGGACAUCCCAGUCUCCGGAACUGUGAGAAAUACAUCUGCGUUGUCUCUGAGCCGGUUCUACUGGGGCCUUCUGUCCUAGGAGCCCAAACCCACCAAGACAUGCAGCGUGACGAGCUCUGGGCCACAUUCUUCAUGCUCGCAACCUCCCGAUGGGGCCCGCGGUGCCCAAAGCGGCCCAGUGAGAGAACACACCCACCUUCCCAGCUCUGGCUUCCAGAUGGUGCCGGCCUGGCCUCCGGGUUUCCACGGUGGGGAAGGGAUGCCCUCCCCGCCCUCUGGAGUCCUCGAGACCCGCCUGUUCCAGGCUCUGGCCUGGUGGCGGAGAGGGGAGUGCUUUUUCCUGCCUUCCUCCGGGCUCCGUGACACAGACACCUGGGUCACAGAUGUGUCCCGCAGGGAGACAAAGGUGGCGAUGACCUAACCACCCCCACGGCGGCCAGUUCCUUGAAAAGGCGUGAGUCCCCAGCUCUUUUGGAAAGCAGCUCGGCGGAGUGUAUCAGGGGCCGGAAAGGUAGACGCUUCCCUCUCCAGCGAUCACACUUCUGGGAAUUUGCCCGAAGGAACUGAUCCUAAAAAAAGAGAAAAGAAAGAGCGCACACCCAGGGAUAGCUACCAAGGUGACAAGUAUAAUAGGAAAUCAUUGGGUGCCACCGCUCCCAGCCGCAGUGAAAAAAUAGAUUCUGCCUUGUAACCCAGUAUACGCGGAUGCUGGCGUAUAACUAAAUAGAAAACUUAUGCAAUGCUACUUAUUAUAAGAAAUGCCAUCUGGGGUUGUCUCUUGGAUGCUGUCCUUCCCCGUCCUGUCCUGUCUGUCCUGUCCUAUCUCAUCCCAUCCCGUUCUGUUUAAAAGGCAAGGUGGCUGGUCAUGACUCAGUCAUAUGACUUCAUGUCCCACCGCUUGGCGUGACCUUCGAGGAAGCAGGUACCAUACGUGUUCCCGUUCGGUGUCCAUUGCCCAGCCCCACCCCACCCCCUCCCUGCUCUGCGGCUUGUCUUUCCCCCCGGAGGAUUUCACAGCCCGAUCUCUGUAACUGGACAGACGGGGCUGGGGCCAUUUUGUCCUCCUAAAUGGUGGCAGAGGAGUUUC